rnacentral:misc_RNA from 1 species
GAAGGUCAAAUGCAACUAUUGUGGAAAGGUAGUUAGUGGUGGGAUAUUUAGGUUAAAGCAACAUUUAGCUCGAGUGUCUGGAGAAGUCACUUAUUGUGAUAAAGCUCCAGAGGAAGUGUACCUUAGAAUGAAAGAAAAUUUGGAAGGAAGCCGUUCCAAUAAUAAGAAGGGAAAACAAUCUCAAGAUGAUGGACAGGCUUAUUUGAAUUUCCAAUACGAUGAUGAAGAAGACCAUGAACAUCAUGUUGGCUUUAAAGGCAAAGGGAAACACUUGAUUGGUGAUACAAACUUGAUGUUAAAUUUGACCCCCAUACGGUCGCUAGGAUAUGUCGACCCUGGGUGGGAUCAUGGUGUUGCUCAGGAUGAGAGGAAGAAAAAGGUCAAGUGUAAUUAUUGUGAUAAAGUUGUUAGUGGAGGUAUCAACCGAUUUAAACAGCACCUAGCCAGAAUUCCUGGCGAAGUAGCACCUUGUAAAAAUGCUCCUGAGGAAGUGUACCUUAAAAUAAAAGAAAAUAUGAAAUGGCACCGUACUGGCAGGAGACAAAGACAGAUGGAUACCAAAGCAAUAUCUGCUUUCUGUAAGCAAUCUGAUAAUGAAGAUGAAGAAGAUGAGCAUGAACAAGAUGCCCUACUUCGUAAGAGCAAGGAAAGGCUGGUAAUUGGUGAUAGAAUAUUGGGGAAUGAUUUGAGAGUGACUUACAAGGGAAUGACUUCUAGUAAUGGCUCUGAACCUUUAUUUAAAAAAUCAAGAUUGGACUCUGUUUUUCUGAAUACUCCAAAUAGUAUAAUGCCACCAUCUUGCAAACAGUUAAAGAUGAAAACUAGGUCCUGCAGAAAAUCUCGCAAAGAAGUUAUUUCUGCAAUUUGCAAAUUUUUUUACCAUGCAGGAAUUCCAAUACAAGCAGCAAAUUCCCUGUACUUCCAUAAGAUGCUUGAGUUGGUUGGUCAAUAUGGACCGGGUUUGGUUGGCCCUCAGAGCCAGGUGAUAUCUGGUCGCUUCCUACAGGAGGAAAUUGCAACUAUUAAAAACUACCUAUUUGAGUACAAGGCAUCCUGGGCAAUCACUGGUUGUUCAAUAAUGGCUGAUAGUUGGAUGGAUAUUGAGGGUAGGACAUUGAUCAAUAUUUUAGUUUCUUGCCCCCAUGGCGUGUACUUUGUUGCUUCAGUUGAUGCCAGUGAUAUGCUAGAAGAUGCUUUAAGUCUGUUUAAGCUAUUGGACAAAGUAGUGGAAGACAUGGGUGAGGAAAAUGUAGUGCAGGUAAUCACUGAGAAUACUCCCAGUUUUAAGGCUGCUGGAAAGAUGCUUCAAGAGAAGAGAAACAAUUUAUUCUGGACACCAUGUGCCACCUAUUGUAUUGAUCGAUUGCUUGAAGAUUUUCUGAAGAUCAAAUGCGUAGGAGAGUGCAUCGUGAAAGGCCAAAAGAUUACAAAACUCAUUUACAACUCCAUCUGGUUACUAAAUCUUAUGAAAGAAUUUACCCAGGGGCAGGAACUUCUGAGGCCAGCCACUACUCGAUUUGCCUCUAGCUUUUCAACUUUACAAAGCUUGCUGGACAAUAGGACUAGUCUAAAAAGAAUGUUUCAGUCGAGCAAAUGGACUUCCUCUAGAUUCUCCAAAUCAGAUGAAGGGAAAGAGGUAGAAAAGAUUGUAGCAACUGCUACAUUUUGGAAGAAGGUGCUGUAUGUUAGCAAAUCGGUAGAUCCAGUAAUGCAAGUGCUUCAAAAGGUUGAUAGUGGUGAAAAUCCUUCAAUGCCAUAUAUAUAUAGUGACAUGUGCAGGGCUAAGUUUACAAUCAAAUCCAUUCAUGGAGAUGAUGCACGUAAAUAUGGACCUUUCUGGAGUGUGCUGGAGAAUCACUGGAACUCGUGGUUGCACCACCCUUUAUACAUGGCUGCUUACUUCUUGAAUCCAUCAUACAGAUAUCGAUCUGAUUUUCUGGCGUCAGAGGUGAUACGUGGACUAAAUGAAUGCAUCCAUCGGCUGGAGCCAGAUAACAUGAGAAAGAUUUCUGCGUCCAAGCAAAUUUCUGAUUAUAAUUCUGCAAAAGGCGAUUUUGGAACUGAAUUGGCAAUUAGCACAAGAACAGAGCUUGACCCAGCUGCAUGGUGGCAACAACAUGGGAUAAGCUGCUUAGAGCUGCAACGAAUAGCUGUGCGCGUACUAAGUCAGACUUGCUCCUCUUUUGGGUGUGAACAUUCCUGGAGCAUAUAUGAUCAGAUCCAUAGCCAGAGGCAAAAUCGUUUUGCUCAGAAAAGAUUUGAAGACCUUGUGUUUGUUCACUACAACUUGCGACUUAGGGAAUGCCAAUUAAAGAAAAGGUCCAGCAGUUCGAUUUCCCUGGAUGGUGUGUUACUAGAACGCUUACUAAAUGACUGGAUUGUAGAAGCAGAGAAGCAACCCUUUCAAGAAGAUGAGGAAAUACUUUGCAAUGAAAAUGGAGCAACAUAUGAAGACAGAUGUGAUGAUUUGAUUGAUUAUAAUGAUGGAAUUGUGGAACCUCACAAGGGAACUCUUGAGCUUGUGACUAUGGCUGAUGUUGAACCUUUGGAUGUUAAUCCCGCAAAUGCUGGUGGCACCAGUGACGACGACAACGAUGAUGAUGAAGAUGAUGAUAACUUUUUUGAUGAUAAUUUGAGUGAUUAAGUUUAGGUAUGACUCAGCUGACUUGGGAGAACAGAAGUAAAGAAUUUAGACAGUUCUUUACUGUAGUCGAUGUAAAAUUGUAGUUCAUCUGUUCUUUUUCCCCCCUACAUUGUCAAUUUGUUUUGGGGAAAUCCUUGGGAGACACAUUGAGCCUGAAUUAUCACUAUUUUGAGUGCAACGCAUAUUUCACUUGAAUCCUCGUGAUGUUUGCUAUUUUAGUUCAUUCUGGAUGAUAUUACAAUGUCAACAUGAAUGCAGCUUGUCAGAGACUUGGAGUUUGUUCCAAGAGAUUGUUGCAAUUAGCCACAAUAAGUCAAU